CCUACGGGAGGCAGCAGUGAGGAAUAUUGCACAAUGGGGGAAACCCUGAUGCAGCGACGCCGCGUGAGGGAAGAAGGUUUUCGGAUUGUAAACCUCUGUCCUUGGUGGCGAAAAUGACGGUAGCCAAGGAGGAAGCCACGGCUAACUACGUGCCAGCAGCCGCGGUAAUACGUAGGUGGCAAGCGUUGUCCGGAAUUACUGGGUGUAAAGGGAGCGUAGGCGGGAAGAUAAGUUGGACGUCUAAUCUAUCGGCUCAACCGAUAGUCGCGUUCAAAACUGUUUUUCUUGAGUGAAGUAGAGGUAAG
rnacentral:rRNA from 1 species